AUUGAACGCUGGCGGCAGGCCUAACACAUGCAAGUCGAGCGCGAAAGUUCUUCGGAAUGAGUAAAGCGGCGGACGGGUGAGUAAUGCAUGGGAAUCUGCCUGGUAGUGGGGGACAACGUCUCGAAAGGGACGCUAAUACCGCAUACGCCCUACGGGGGAAAGGGGGGGAUCUUCGGACCUCUCGCUAUCAGAUGAGCCCAUGUCAGAUUAGCUAGUUGGUGGGGUAAAGGCCUACCAAGGCGACGAUCUGUAACUGGUCUGAGAGGAUGAUCAGUCAACAGGGAACUGAGACACGGUCCAGACUCCGACGGGAGGCAGCAGUGGGGAAUAUGGGACAAUGGGCGAAAGCUUGAUCCAGCAAUGCAGCGUGUGUGAAGAAGGUCUUAGGGUUGUAAAGCACUUUUGGUGGGAAGAAAAGCUGUUUCCUUAAUACGCAGGCAGCCGGAUGGUACCCAAAGAAGAAGAACCGGCUAACUCCGUG
rnacentral:rRNA from 1 species